UAAUACGUAGGGGGCAAACGUUGUCCGGAUUUACUGGGUGUAAAGGGUGCUCAGGCGGUUUUGUAAGUCAGAAGUGAAAUCCUAGAGCUUAACUCUGGAACUGCUUUUGAUACUGCAAGGCUUGAAUGUGGAAGAGGAGGAUGGAAUUUCUGGUGUAGCAGUGAAAUGCGUAGAUAUCAGAAAGAACACCAGUGGCGAAGGCGGUCCUCUGGUCCACUAUUGACGCUAAAGCACGAAAGCGUGGGGAGCAAACAGGAUUAGAUACCCUGGUAGUCCACGCCUUAAACGAUGAAUACUAGACGUUGGGGUUAAACUCAGUGUCGCAGCUAACGCAUUAAGUAUUCCACCUGGGGAGUACGAUCGCAAGGUUG
rnacentral:rRNA from 1 species